AUGCAUCUCCUGAUGCUGACUACUGGAAGGAAGCUGUAUAGCGAGAUGGAUUCCAUCUUAGCUAACGGUACCUGGGAGAUCACUGACCGUCCAUAUGGGUGCAAACCUGUAGGAUGUAAGUGGGUGUUCAAGAAGAAGCUUAGACCUGAUGGUACGAUUGAAAAGUACAAGGCACGGCUUGUGGCCAAGGGUUAUACCCAGAAAGAAGGUGAAGAAUUCUUUGAUACUUACUCACCCGUGGCUAGACUGACCACAAUUCGGGUGCUACUAUCACUGGCUGCCUCACAUGGUCUUCUCGUCCAUCAAAUGGACGUUAAGACGGCUUUCCUUAAUGGAGAGUUGAAGGAGGAAAUUUACAUGGAUCAGCCAGAUGGUUUUGUAGUACCUGGUCAGGAAGGAAAGGUGUGCAAGUUAUUAAAGUCUUUAUAUGGCCUUAAACAAGCUCCUAAGGAGUGGCAUGAGAAGUUCGAAAGAACAUUAACUGCUGCCGGCUUUGUAGUAAACGAUGGUGACAAGUGCGUGUACUAUCGCUAUGGUGGGGGCGAAGGAGUUAUUCUUUGUCUGUAUGUCGACGACAUAUUGAUCUUUGGAACAAAACUUGAUUUAAUCAAGGAGGUUAAGGAUUUCUUAUCUCGCUGUUUUGAGAUGAAGGAUCUAGGAGUAGUUGAUGUUAUCUUAAACAUCAAGUUGUUGAGAGAUGAGAAUGGUGGGAUCACACUGCUUCAGUCUCAUUAUGUGGAAAAGGUCUUGAGUCGUUUUGGGUAUAGCGACUGCACGCCUUCUCCAACUCCAUAUGAUGCUAGUGUUGCCAUGAGGCCUGACAUCUCUUUUGCUGUGAGCAAGCUGAGUCGGUUUGUGUCAAAACCGGGAGAUGAUCAUUGGCAUGUGCUUGAGAGAGUUAUGCGCUGUUUGAAAGGCACCGCGAGCUAUGGGAUUCACUACACCGGGUAUCCAAGGGUACUGGAGGGUUAUAGUGACUCAAACUGGAUAUCUGAUGCUGAUGAGAUUAAGGCCACAAGUGGUUAUGUUUUUACACUUGGUGGUGGCACUGUUUCCUGGAAGUCUUGCAAGCAGACCAUCUUAACGAGGUCAACUAUGGAAGCAGAACUCACAGCAUUAGACACUGCCACUGUUGAAGCAGAGUGGCUUCGUGAACUCUUGAUGGACUUACCUAUGGUUGAAAAACCAAUACCCCCUAUCCUGAUGAACUGUGAUAAUCAAACUGUGAUCGUCAAGAUAAACAGUUCUAAGGACAAUAUGAAGUCCUCAAGGCAUGUGAAGAGGAGAUUAAAAUUUGUCAGAAAAUUGAGGAACUCCGGAGUUAUUACGUUGGAUUAUAUACAAACAUCGAAAAACUUGGCAGAUCCCUUCACAAAGGGUCUAUCACGUAAUGUGAUAGAUAAUGCAUCGAUGGAGAUGGGUUUGAGACCCACCGCAUGA
rnacentral:rRNA from 1 species